GCGGGAGUAGCUCAGCUGGUAGAGCGUCUCGUUGCCAACGAGAAGGUCGCGGGUUC
rnacentral:tRNA from 1 species